UACGUAGGGCGCAAGCGUUGUCCGGAAUUAUUGGGCGUAAAGAGCUCGUAGGCGGUCUGUUGCGUCUGCCGUGAAAACCCGAGGCUUAACCUCGGGCCUGCGGUGGAUACGGGCAGACUAGAGGUAGGUAGGGGAGAACGGAAUUCCCGGUGUAGCGGUGGAAUGCGCAGAUAUCGGGAGGAACACCGGUGGCGAAGGCGGUUCUCUGGGCCGUAACUGACGCUGAGGAGCGAAAGCAUGGGGAGCGAACAGG
rnacentral:rRNA from 1 species